rnacentral:rRNA from 1 species
AGUGAACGCUGGCGGUAGGCCUAACACAUGCAAGUCGAACGGCAGCACAGUAAGAGCUUGCUCUUACGGGUGGCGAGUGGCGGACGGGUGAGGAAUACAUCGGAAUCUACUUUUUCGUGGGGGAUAACGUAGGGAAACUUACGCUAAUACCGCAUACGACCUACGGGUGAAAGCAGGGGAUCUUCGGACCUUGCGCGAUUGAAUGAGCCGAUGUCGGAUUAGCUAGUUGGCGGGGUAAAGGCCCACCAAGGCGACGAUCCGUAGCUGGUCUGAGAGGAUGAUCAGCCACACUGGAACUGAGACACGGUCCAGACUCCUACGGGAGGCACCAGUGGGGAAUAUUGGACAAAGGGCGCAAGCCUGAUCCAGCCAUACCGCGUGGGUGAAGAAGGCCUUCGGGUUGUAAAGCCCUUUUGUUGGGAAAGAAAAGCAGCAGGUUAAUACCCCGCUGUUCUGACGGUACCCAAAGAAUAAGCACCGGCUAACUUCGUG